GGAUACGCUGGUGGUAGGUAGGACACAUCUAUAGGAUACGCUGGUGGUAGGUAGGACACAUCUAUAGGAUACGCUGGAGGUAGGUAGGACACAUCUAUAGGAUACGCUGGUGGUAGGUAGGACACAUCUAUAGGAUACGCUGGUGGUAGGUAGGACACAUCUAUAGGAUACGCUGGUGGUAGGUAGGACACAUCUAUAGGAUACGCUGGUGGUAGGUAGGACACAUCUAUAGGAUACGCUGGUGGUAGGUAGGACACAUCUAUAGGAUACGCUGGUGGUAGGUAGGACACAUCUAUAGGAUACGCUGGUGGUAGGUAGGACACAUCUAUAGGAUACGCUGGUGGUAGGUAGGACACAUCUAUAGGAUACGCUGGUGGUAGGUAGGACACAUCUAUAGGAUACGCUGGUGGUAGGUAGGACACAUCUAUAGGAUACGCUGGUGGUAGGUAGGACACAUCUAUAGGAUACGCUGGUGGUAGGUAGGACAC